AGGCCAAUUGGCCCAAACCAAAAUUCACAAACCUAAUAACAUUCUCACUUUAUAUGGUUCCCUACCCUGCCGCCAACCCCAUCCCUCCUUUUCCAUUUCCUUCUUCAACAAUGCCUCUCUUCACAUGAAGAGAGCAAAUCAGCGGAAUCACUGGCUAGAUAGCCCGAUGGCUUCUUUUUUUUUUCAGGUAUUGAGUGGGACUUUGAAGAUUAAAAUGCAAUAUUGGGAGGAGCCACAGUUCGUCGAAAAGACAUUACAAAAAUGAGGGUGCAUUUCAAUCUAUUCAAUGCAAGAAGAUUAAGGAUUCAACCUUGAUGCAAAGAGUGAAAGUACUUCAUCCUUGAUUGCAGAAGAUCAUCUGGUGGCGACAUCUGAAAUUUCCGGAUCAAAUACUUGGAACUUAGUUUUCUUUUGAUGUGGAACCCUUCAGAAUUUUAUAGAUUAUAGAUAAUGGUGCAUAAUUUGUAUUAUACUCCUAUUAGUUUGACAAGAAUGUAAGUUUAAGUUUUUUCUAUUAUCUAGCUGCAUAUUAACUAGUUGUUAUGUCUCUUGUACAAGAGUUACAUACUUGUGGAAGUAUGGAUACUAUGUACUGUAUAUAGACAAUUGUAUAUUUUAGAAUUAAUUUAUUAAACUAUUUAGAUUUCAA